UCGAGCUCAGGGGCGACCAAGAAGGGUCAAACCCUAAUCAACACAAUUUCAUCAAAUUGAAGGGGCAAAUCAAGUCCAAAUCAAAAUCCGAGUAUGAAUUAGUGAUCUCCAUUGAAAAAGGAGUCAUGAGUUUGACUCUGACAAGCUAGGUAGGAGCUUGGAAAUGAACGGGUCAAAUGGAUAGAAUUCAAGUAUGAAGCUCGCAAGGAUGCAAGGUACACCUUGGAUGCCGGAAGACGAUCAAGCUCAACGAAGGACCGAACACGAUAUAGAUACACGCUUCGGCACAUUGCCACGUUGUAAAUUUUAACAACGAACUCAAUUACGUUUGUUGGAUAACUUAUGAUUUGUAAAAGAUUUAAUAAACCCGCAUUUUGUACAGUAUGUGUGGUCUUAACUACACAUCUAAUUGUGGUAUUUUCAUGUAAAAUUGUAAUUUAGUAA